UGCAUUAAAGAUUAGUCAGUUCAGUCAGUUAAAGACAGUCGGUUCCUUUCCAUAGAUUGUCAUUUAUUAAUGCAUAUUAAAGGUGUGUUAAUAAUUGGCAAUCUAUGAAAGGGAACUGACUGUUUUGGCCAAAAAAGGGAUUUAAAAACAUCUUCCACAGCUGCUAUCCUAUAAAACAUAUUUUUCUAAGAUCACUGUGCAUGAGGAGAACUCCCUGUUGGUAGAACAGUGCUGGCCUUCAAAUGAAACACUUCAAGCAACAUGGCCGAUAUUGAAAGAAGCUGAACCGAGGUGCCUUUGCAAAAUGGCAGUGGAAAGAACCUGUUGCAUUUGCAAAGAGGCUGUCACAACUACAGCACCAGUUUAAAAGGUCCCAAAUCAAGGG